rnacentral:rRNA from 1 species
CCUACGGGUGGCAGCAGUGGGGAAUUUUGGACAAUGGGCGCAAGCCUGAUCCAGCUAUUCCGCGGGUGGGAAGACGGCCUUCGGGUUGUAAACCACUUUUGUAGAGAACGAAAAGUCUAUUGAUAAUACCGAUAGAUGAUGACGGUACUCUAAGAAUAAGCACCGGCUAACUACGUGCCAGCAGCCGCGGUAAGACGUAGGGUGCGAGCGUUAAUCGGAAUUACUGGGCGUAAAGGGUGUGCAGGCGGUUUUGCAAGAUGGAUGUGAAAGCCCCGGGCUUAACCUGGGAAAGACAUACAUGACUGCAAGACUAGAGUGCGUCAGAGGGGGGUGGAAUUCCAAGUGUAGCAGUGAAAUGCGUAGAUAGUUGGAAGAACACCGAUGGCGAAGGCAGCCCCCUGGGACACAACUGACGCUCAUACACGAAAGCGUGGGGAGCAAACAGGAUUAGAUACCCCGGUAGUC